rnacentral:rRNA from 1 species
GGCAGUGCCGGUGACAUAUCAAUUAGAUGUCCGCCCCAUCAAUUGUUGACGGUAAGGUAGUGGCUUACCGUGGUUACAACGGGUAACGGGGAAUCAGGGUUCGAUUCCGGAGAGGGAGCAUGAGAAAUGGCUGCCAGAUCUAUGGAUUGCAGCAGGUGCGAAAAUUAUCCACUUUUGGCAUAAAGAGAUAGUGAUGAUAAAUAACGGAUCUGGGCAUUUGUUCAGAGAUCGUAAUGAAAUAAUCGUAAAAGCUUUAAUGAACGCAAUUGGAGGGCAAGUCUGGUGCCAGCAGCCGCGGCAAUUCCAGUUCCAAUAGUGUAUACUAAAGUUGCUGCAGUUGAAAAGCUCGUAGUUGGAUCUCGGCUUGCUAGCGCGCGAGGCGUGUGAGUAGGCCUUUGCUGUAGUUGAGUGCUACGGCUUUACCUUGAACAAAAUAGAGUGCUUAAGGCAAGCAUUCUGCUUGAAUAUCUCAGCAUGGAAUAAUAGAAAAAGACUUUUCUGUUGGUUUACCAGUAGUAAAAGUAAUGAUUAACAGAGACAGACGGGGGCAUUCGUAUCGCACCGCUAGAGGUGAAAUUCGUAGAUCGGUGCGGGACGAACUACAGCGAAAGCAUUUGCCAAGGAUGUUUUCAUUAAUCAAGAACGAAAGUUGGAGUAUCGAAGUCGAUUAGAUCUCGUCGUAGUUCCAACUAUAAACGAUGCCAACUAGCACUCCGCUAAUAAGUAUUAGUACGUUAGCGGGUUGCUUCCGGGAAACCAAAGUCUUUGGGCUCCGGGGGAAGUAUGGUUGCAAAGCUGAAACUUAAAGGAAUUGACGGAAGGGCACCACCAGGAGUGGAGCCUGCGGCUCAAUUUGACUCAACACAGAAAAACUCACCCGGGCCGAACACAGUAAGGAUUGACAGACUGAUAGCUUUUUCUUGAUACUGUGGGUAGUGGUGCAUGGCCGUUGUUGGUUGGUGGAGUGAUCUGUCUGGUUAAUUCCGAUAACGAACGAGACUCAGGCCUACUUACUAGUUGUUCGAUUGCUGGUCGAUCAACUUCUUAGAGGGAUCAGUGUUUAAAACACUUGAAAAUGAGCAAUAACAGGUCUGUGAUUGCCCUUAGACGUUCGGGGCUGCACGCGCGCUACAAUGGAGAAAGCAGUGGGUGUCUUGCUUGGCAAAGCAAGCUGAGCCUUAAAAUUUCUUCGUGACAGGGAUCGAGGCUUGUAAUUAUUCCUCGUGCACAAGGAAUUCCUAGUAAUCGCAGGUCAUUAGCCUGCAAUGAUUACGUCCCUGCCCUUUGUACACACCGCCCGUCGCUACUACCGAUGAAUGAUUUGG